rnacentral:rRNA from 1 species
UACGAAGGGGGCUAGCGUUGCUCGGAAUCACUGGGCGUAAAGCGCACGUAGGCGGAUCGUUAAGUCAGGGGUGAAAUCCUGGAGCUCAACUCCAGAACUGCCUUUGAUACUGGCGACCUUGAGUACGGGAGAGGUGAGUGGAACUGCGAGUGUAGAGGUGAAAUUCGUAGAUAUUCGCAGGAACACCAGUGGCGAAGGCGGCUCACUGGCCCGUAACUGACGCUGAGGCACGAAAGCGUGGGGAGCAAACAGG